AUCCAUGACAUGCUUGUUAUGUUUUGCAUACUUUGAAUUAUAUGUUUUCAAUAUUCAGUUUGAAACGCUCCAUGCUUGAAUAAUUUGAUUGAAACAUAUUUCUACCAAUAGCAAAUUUAUUUUUUUUAUGACGCUCAUAAUUUGGAAUAGGCUUUAACUUUGUAUACAAGUUUUUGCUUCACUUUUGACUUCGAAAUAACUUGUGUUCCAAAGCCUAAUGAAAAUUAUUUUCACUUGCAUUCCAUGCCCAUCAAUGAUAUCUUGAAUUUCUCUUACACUCGUCUAAUCGUAUUUUUGAAAGAAAUUUCAGAUUUGUCGUUCAUGAUCACCUUUGAAAUCUGAAAGUUGAAUAUAUUUGCAAAAGGAGAAGAGAAGGAUACUUCUAUUUUAAUGAAUAUCAUCUGAAAAAUAAAAAAAAAUAAUCCGAAUUUCUAAAUUAGGCAGAAUAUAUUAAUUCUAAUUUGUCUAACACUAGUACAUAAUAUCCUCCAAUUUGUACCAAAAUUCAAUAUGAAUUACAAAGAUUCUGGAUGUGCUCUAAUGUUCUUGAAAUAUAUGUUUUCAAUCUUAAUAAUUUAAGAUGAGCUACAAUGUAGAAGAUGCAUAUCUCAAAUUAUAAUCCUGAAAGGCUCCUUGAAAAUUUUUAUGAAAUUCAGAAUCUGAUUUUGUAUAAAAGCUUAAACUUAAUUUAAAAAUGCUUCUAUCAUUGCAUUUUUGUAACUUUCAUUAUAUGCUUCAAAGAUUGCAUCAUGCUGGAGAAUAAUUUACUAUGUUUCUUAGAUAAAAACUAUAGCUUAAGAAAAAUAGAAUUAAUUUUGAUACCUUGGUUGUUUGCUCCGAUACGCAUCUGAAACAUAUCAUUUUUUAUCUUAUAAGUGUACUGAAAUUGGUCUAAAUGAUGUGUUUUUCAAUGAUCUUGAUUGCAAACAAAUGGUUCUAAACAUAUGAUGUUAUUUUGAUAUUAAAAAGAUUUAUGGUGCUUCAUAUAUACAUAGCUGAAAAACUUUGAUUAAGAAAUUGAGUUCUACAAAUAUAUAUACUUCAAUGAUCAUCUAUAUGUUUUUCCUCUCCUACAUUAUUAAAGACUUCCAUCAAAAAUAUAUGU
rnacentral:lncRNA from 1 species